GCUGAGGUGAGGGUGGGUAAUGCCAGCCAUUGAAGGUAAGAGCUGAGGUGAGGGUGGGUGAUGCCAGCCAUUGAAGGUAAGAGCUGAGGUGAGGGUGGGUGAUGCCAGCCAUUGAAGGUAAGAGCUGAGGUGAGGGUGGGUGAUGCCAGCCAUUGAAGGUAAGAGCUGAGGUGAGGGCCGUGAGGUGUCAGCUGUCAGUGGAAUUUAACUAAUGCUAUACACAUCUGGUGUGCCUAGGGCAGUUCUGAUAGGUACCUACAGGGAUUGUACAUGUGCCUUGAAGACAGAAAGCAGUAUCAAAACAAAAACAAAAACAAGAAGUUAAUUUAAAUAGCUAAUCAUUAUGUUUGCUCUUAACAGAAGUUAACUUUUGAGUCAAUAAGAGUAGAUGUCUGUAAAACAUAAAAAUGUGUGAGCUAAUUUGUUUUAGAUGCCUUUUAUCUGUGUGCAUUUUGAAGUUAUUUCCAUUGGGGAGUUUUAGUAAAGACUUAUUCUUUUGACUAUUUGUCAUUAGGACACUCUUGUUCUAGUCUCUCUGCUCUCUGCUCUGCUCUGCUCUGCUUUUAGCAGGGUCUCACUCUUCACCCCAACUUGUCCUAUAGCCUGGCCUAGAAUUCAGUAUGUAGCCCAGGCUGGUGCCCAGCUGGUGGAAGUCCUCCUGCCUCAGCUUUCCAAGUGUUGGGAUUACAGGUGGAAGCCACCACAUCCAGCCUCUGUUGUUCUUCUUAACAUUUCACUCUUGUUAAGUAAAUAUUUGUGCAGUGAUUGAUGUAAGAGAAAAUUAAAUACUUGCACGUUUUGUAAGCCGUCGAGAUGAAUGGUAUAGAAAUCCUAUGCACAGUUUGUAGUGGGAGCAAGCAUCAGCUAGCUCACGUUUAGCAUUUACUAUAUUUUUUUUAAGUUCUGAAGUGUUUUAUAAUGCUCUUCUUAUAUCUCUCAGUUAAAAACGCCUUAUAGUUCAAAGAUUUUUGCUUAAAAGCUAAUCCUUUGGGCUCUGUAAAAUAGAUCUUUUGUCUAAUCAAUGCAAAUUGAUUUUCCUCUUCUGUAUUGACCUCUUAACCCAUUGACUGUCCAUGGUAAUUCCGUUUCACCUGAUAAGGUACCUGAUCCAUAAGUCAAUUCUAAUUAGUUCAGAAACUAGAAAUUUAAGUUUGUAAGUGAAAGCCAAGACUUAUAUUCUUAAAAUAUUUAAAAAUAUAUUACUCUAAAAUAAGGCCUAUUUAUCAGUGACCUUGUAUGUUUUAGAAGCUUUACUUUAAUUACUUUUAUAUCUCUAAUCUCAUUUGAUACUAUCACUGAUAACAUUUGUAUAUCUUCAUUUAAAACUCAAUUUACUUUGCUUUUCAAAGCUUUACUUGGCUCAUUUCUUUCAAAUGGCGAGAUGUAUCAAAUGCCAUUGAUAACUAUUAAUUUUUUUUAAAUUAUUUUAGAAUUUUUGUGAAAUCUGUCACUGCAGUAAAAUGCCCAAGUACAGCAAAUGGUGUUUUUCCUUUAGAUAUAAUUUUUCUAGUUAUAGUAUGGUUUUAAGAGAGAUCAGAAAGCUAAAUAGCUGAAAAGUAGAUGCAGCAGUUACUAUAUAAGUAGGGUAUAUGUAUAAUGUAUCUGUAUGUAAUAUAUAACUCAUUAUACAGUAUAUUCUUUAUAGAUUCAUUAUACAUUACACCCAAUGUAAAGUAGUCUUAAUUUGUUUUUAUACCCAUCCUCUUCUGUAUAGAAGAUAAAUUGUCCCUAAAAUACAGCUUUACAUGGUAUAAUUGGCGUUUAGGGCAGAGAUGAAAUACUGUUUUUAUUCCCCAAACCAGUAUUAUUACUAAAUAUGCAUCUUAUAACACCCUUACACAUGGAAAUAUCCCAGUUUCAUUGGCCAUCUGUAUGCACAGGCUUAGAAUCUAUCAUUUUUUCUGCCUGAGUUCUUACACAUACAGAGGAGCAAUAAAAGCCAUAUUUUAGAAAACUUUAAAUGCAACUAUUAGUCUUUUGGCUCUCCCCCCCACUCCCCCCCCCUUCCCUUCCUUCCUCCCUACCACAGGACCAUUUUCAAUUGCACUGUCCUGUAGGUGACUGUACCUCAGAUCUCUGUGUCAGCCUCUGUUAAGAGGAAGGGAAGAGUUUGAGAAAAAGAACUGCCUAUUGAUCACAAGGAGAGACACUUAGAGAUGCCUGUCUCAGUGGCCUGAGCAGGACAUAGGCAGGGCCACCCUCAGCAUGGACACACGGAUGCUUCAGACCCCAGAGCAAAACAUGGAGCAAACACCAACAGUCCUGUGGUGUUUUCCUUCAUCUAAAAACUCACUCCUCUUCUUCCAGCAUCUUCUCCUUAGCCAUAGUUCUGAACUAAAACCUUUCCAAGUGACUCCUGUGUUCAGAGCAUGCACCAGCAGAGAGCAGAGAACACUAACAGCCGUAGCACACCGAAAGAAACAUUCCCAGUGUGGUUUGAGAGCAGAAUAUUAUAAUAGUAAUAAUAAUAUUCAAUUCAUCCAUUCUUCUGAGAACCCAUAAUCACUCUAACCCUGUUCUCCCUCUUCCCUGAGGGGUCAUGGCCGGGAGUUGCUUCUCUACUGAGCUCAAUUGUAAGGUUCCCUCAAGCUAACAAGCAUCUUUCAUAUACUUUUUUUCUAUAGUUUUUGUAGUUGUUGUUCCAGAUUAUUUAAUGCUCCCUCGGGAAAGACAAAUUCAUUUCUGCACACAUUAGGGUGGGCUCUUUAGAGAGGGGCAUGUUCAUUUUCUGCACAAGAAAUGGAUCUACUCUAGGAUUCGUACAUCUUGAUUUGUUCUUGGCUUAAGAGUUUGAAGUGGGUGCUCUUCUAAAGGAUUUAUGCAUAGGCUCACUAUUUUUGUAGUUAUGGUUUAUAUGAUAAGCUUUUUAUAUUUAAAAUCAAUAUGUAAUCCUGUGGAGGAGCUUAUCCCCUAAAACCCCAUUUGUAAAUCUAUUUUAGCUUUGUUACACAGCACAGCCACAGUCUUCCAUGGAUUGAUUAGGCUCCACAGUAGAAUCCUAUCAAUGGCCUGUUCUGAUGAUGAGGCAAACUCCUUCAGGAUUGCUAGUUGACUGGAACUAAAGAUAAGAUUUGACUGCAAUCCCCAAUGUGCUCUUU